AGCUCCAAUAGCGUAUAUUAAAGUUGUUGUGGUUAAAAAGCUCGUAGUUGGAUCUCGGCGGCCAGGGGCCGGUCUGAAUGCUUUCAUGACUGGUCCUCUUUGGCCGUGUUGAAUUGCCAGAGGUCGGCGGGUGCUCUUCACCGAGUGUCCGCCGGCGCUGGCAGGUUUACUUUGAAAAAAUUAGAGUGCUCAAAGCAAGCUCCACCGCUUGAAUAUUCGUGCAUGGAAUAAUAGAAUAGGAAGUCGUUUCUAUUUUGUUGGUUUUCGGAAAUCGACUUAAUGAUUAAUAGGGACAGUCGGGGGCAUUUGUAUUCAAGCGACAGAGGUGAAAUUCUUGGACCGUUUGAAGACAAACUACUGCGAAAGCAUUUGCCAAGAAUGUUUUCA
rnacentral:rRNA from 1 species